GUCUGUGUAUGUUCAGUACAUAUGCAACAAUCUGUUGGUUUUUUUCCUGAAUAUUUUCAGUUCUGAUUGUUGAAUCAGUGGAUUCAGAAACCGUGGAUAUGGAGGGCUGACCUCCUUUGGGCAAGGACAUUAGCUCAUCCAUUUAUGCUGUAGACAUAUUUGUUGAAAUGAUAUCCCGGAGCUAUCAAGUUAACAGCGGAGUUCUUUUACCUGUUUCUGUAUUCCUUUGCUUUGAUUGAGAAAGUGAACUUAUUUUGCAAUUGAUUCUUAAAUCCCUUGUGUUUAAAGGAUUUUAUGUACACUCAGUCAUUUAAUGAAUAUUUAGUAACUACGGCAUGCCAACCACUGGUUUAGGCAGUGAACAAAGCAGAUAAAAUAUUCCUGCCUAUCAGUUUGCAUUUUAAUAAGGAGCUAGAUAAUAAUUUAAUUGUUUGUAGGAUAGUGAUAAGUGGUAAGGAGAAAGAAGGUAAAACAAAGAUAAUGCGAAAUAUAGAACUUUUAAAGUUUACAUAUUAUAAAAACCAAGAUCUGAGUGCUAGAUGAGCUCAUUGCUAUGGGAGUAUCUAUUGUACACCAGGCCCUUUCAGUGGUCACAUCCAGGAAGCAUGUGCAUGCACGUAAGUGUG
rnacentral:lncRNA from 10 species